GAGAGCCGGUUACUUGCAUGAAUGCAGAAUGCUCCUCUGCUCUUACUUAGUUUAUGUGGAUUCAGAGGCAUUGAGAUUAUAUAUAUAUAUAUAUAUAUAUAUAUAUAUAUAUAUUUCUCGAAAAGGUGGCAGUUGCAUUCUCCAUUUAGGGACUGUUCCAUAGUUGUGCUAUAUUCUGACAUCAGCACGCCAGUAAGGCGAUGUGGGGAUUCUUCUAACAUAUUAAAUUCCCUGCGUACAUCAAUGUAUGCCUUUACCUGAUCUCCUGUUUCUCUAUCAAAUGAUGCUGUUCACCUCUCAUUUACUCCUGAUUCGGAUUCUUCUUCAAUUUUUAGGAACUUCUAUCACCACCUUCCAUCCAACAGCGUCAGCCUCCGUUUCCCCCCUCCUUCCUUGUGUUUCCCUUUUUAAUUUGGUAGCUGGAUUUACCAUGUCCUAAACCCCCUAUGUUGUUUGAUAAUAUUUUAAUCAUGAUUGUUUUGAGUAAUGUUUCCCCCCAACAUCUUGGAUCCGAGAUUUAUUGCAGUCUUAAUUUCAUUGUAUGUCUUCUGAAGUUCUUCAUUCCACACCGUGCAGG
rnacentral:lncRNA from 1 species